CAACAGUGUAUGCUAAAGUUGUUGCGGUUGAAAAGCUCGUAGUUGGAUUUUGGGCGGGCGCAACCGGUCCGUCGCAGGGCGUGUCACUGGUUGCGUUCGCCUCACCUUCGGUUCUCCGUCGGUGCUCUUGACUGAGUGUCGGCGGUGGCCGAUAAGUUUACUUUGAAAAAUUAGAGUGUUCAAAGCAGGCUGCUCGCCUGCAUAGUGUUGCAUGGAAUAAUGGAAUAGGACCUCGGUUCUAUUUUGUUGGUUUUCGGAGCGCGAGGUAAUGAUUAAGAGGGACAAUUGGGGGCAUUAGUAUUCAGACGACAGAGGUGAAAUUCUUGGACCGUCUGAAGACUGACUACUGCGAAAGCAUUUGCCAAGAGUGUUUUCAUUAAUCAAGAACGAAAGUUAGAGGUUCGAAGACGAUCAGAUACCGU
rnacentral:rRNA from 1 species